UGGCGGCGUGCCUAACACAUGCAAGUCGAACGGAGUUAAGUCUUCGGAUUUAACUUAGUGGCGAACGGGUGAGUAACGCGUGAGAAACCUGCCUUUCAGUGGGGGACAACAGUUGGAAACGACUGCUAAUACCGCAUAAUGUUAUUUGGGGGCAUCCCUGAAUAACCAAAGAUUUAUUGCUGAAAGAUGGUCUCGCGUCUGAUUAGCUAGUUGGUGAGGUAACGGCUCACCAAGGCGACGAUCAGUAGCCGGUCUGAGAGGAUGAACGGCCACAUUGGGACUGAGAUACGGUCCAAACUCCUACGGGAGGCAGCAGUGGGGAAUAUUGGGCAAUGGGCGCAAGCCUGACCCAGCAACGCCGCGUGAAGGAAGAAGGCUUUCGGGUUGUAAACUUCUUUUAACAGGGACGAAGAAAGUGACGGUACCUGUUGAAUAAGCCACGGCUAACUACGUG
rnacentral:rRNA from 1 species